rnacentral:lncRNA from 1 species
UUGCAUCUCCAUCCAAUUAAGCAUCAUCAUUUCACAAUCAAAACACCAACCAAUGUGCAAGAAAGAACACAUCUAAACAAACCCUAGGCCAUCGUGCAUAAUUUUUGCAAAAAUAUCCACAAAAUUCUAGAGAUCUUAAGGAUCACAAUGGAAAAAUCCUCAUGUAAUUUGGACAAGUAAUCAAGAAGCUAUGAAUUAUUGAAUGAGGAAA